rfam:Stegodyphus mimosarum contig76622, whole genome shotgun sequence.
GCCUUCGUGGUGUAAUGGUCAGCACACUGAGCCGGUAUUUCAGAGGUCCGCGGUUCGAUUCCCGGCGAAGGCC